CCUACGGGUGGCAGCAGUGAGGAAUAUUGGUCAAUGGCCGGAAGGCUGAACCAGCCAAGCCGCGUGAAGGACGAAGGUGCCAAGCAUUGUAAACUUCUUUUGUCAAGGGACAAAAUCAGGCUCGAGAGCCUGACCGAGGGUACUUGAAGAAAAAGCAUCGGCUAACUCCGUGCCAGCAGCCGCGGUAAUACGGAGGAUGCGAGCGUUAUCCGGAUUUAUUGGGUUUAAAGGGUGCGUAGGCGGACUGUCAAGUCAGCGGUAAAAGAUCGGGGCUCAACCCCGUCGUGCCGUUGAAACUGGCGUUCUAGAGUUGGCGAGAAGUAUGCGGAAUGCGUGGUGUAGCGGUGAAAUGCAUAGAUAUCACGCAGAACUCCGAUUGCGAAGGCAGCAUACCGGCGCUCAACUGACGCUCAUGCACGAAAGCGUGGGUAUCGAACAGGAUUAGAUACCCUAGUAGUC
rnacentral:rRNA from 1 species